UCGAGAAUCUUUCGCAAUGGGCGAAAGCCUGACGAAGCGACGCCGUGUGUGCGAUGAAGGCCUUCGGGUUGUAAAGCACUUUCGCUUGGGAACAAGAGAAGCUGGCUAAAAUCCAGCGGAUUUGAGGGUACCAGGUAAAGAAGCACCGGCUAACUACGUGCCAGCAGCUGCGGUAAUACGUAGGGUGCGAGCAUUAAUCGGAUUUAUUGGGCGUAAAGGGCGCGUAGGCGGGAAAGAAAGUCAGAUGUGAAAUCCCAGGGCUCAACCCUGGAACAGCAUUUGAAACUGUUUUUCUAGAGGGUAGGCGGAGAAAACGGAAUUCCACAAGUAGCGGUGAAAUGCGUAGAUAUGUGGAAGAACACCGGUGGCGAAGGCGGUUUUCUAGCUUAUACCUGACGCUAAAGCGCGAAAGCAAGGGGAUCAAACAGGAUUAGAUACCCGGGUAGUCC
rnacentral:rRNA from 1 species